AUUGAACGCUGGCGGCGUGCUUAACACAUGCAAGUCGAGCGGUAACAGGCGUAGCAAUACGUGCUGACGAGCGGCGAACGGGUGCGUAAUACAUGGGAAUCUGCCCUUUGGUGGGGAAUAACCCGGCGAAAGCCGGGCUAAUGCCGCAUAAGAUCUUCGGAUGAAAGCGGGGGAUCGUAAGACCUCGCGCCGAUGGAUGAGCCCAUGUCGGAUUAGCUAGUUGGUGAGGUAACGGCUCACCAAGGCGACGAUCCGUAGCUGGUCUGAGAGGACGGCCAGCGCCACUGGGAAUGAGACACGGCCCAGACUCCGAAGGGAGGCAGCAGUGGGGAAUAUUGGACAAUGGGGGAAACCCUGAUCCAGCGACGCCGCGUGUGUGAAGAAGGCCUGCGGGUUGUAAAGCACUUUCGAUGGGAACGAAAUGUGCCGGGCUAAUACCCCGGCAAGCUGACGUUACUCAAUGAAGAAGCACCGGCUAACUCUGUGCCAGCCGCCGCCGUAAGAC
rnacentral:rRNA from 1 species